UGGGGAAUUUUGGACAAUGGGCGAAAGCCUGAUCCAGCAAUGCCGCGUGAGUGAAGAAGGCCUUCGGGUUGUAAAGCUCUUUUGUCAGGGAAGAAACGGUGAGAGCUAAUAUCUCUUGCUAAUGACGGUACCUGAAGAAUAAGCACCGGCUAACUACGUGCCAGCAGCCGCGGUAAUACGUAGGGUGCAAGCGUUAAUCGGAAUUACUGGGCGUAAAGCGUGCGCAGGCGGUUUUGUAAGUCUGAUGUGAAAUCCCCGGGCUCAACCUGGGAAUUGCAUUGGAGACUGCAAGGCUAGAAUCUGGCAGAGGGGGGUAGAAUUCCACGUGUAGCAGUGAAAUGCGUAGAUAUGUGGAGGAACACCGAUGGCGAAGGCAGCCCCCUGGGUCAAGAUUGACGCUCAUGCACGAAAGCGUGGGGAGCAAACAGGAUUAGAUACCCGAGUAGUCCCUGAGCGGGCUGGCAAGGCGCAU
rnacentral:rRNA from 1 species